ACGCCCAUAUGCCGUUGUAACACCGGUUCUCGUACGAUCACCAAAGUGAAGCAGCUUCGACCCUGGACAGUAUCUACAUGGGUGACCGUUUGGGAAUACCAUGUGU